rnacentral:rRNA from 1 species
ACUCCUGCGGGAGGCAGCAGUGGGGAAUUUUGGACACUGGGCGAAAGCCUGAUCCAGCAAUGCCGCGUGCAGGAUGAAGGCCUUCGGGUUGUAAACUGCUUUUGUACGGAACGAAAAAGCUCCUUCUAAUACAGGGGGCCCAUGACGGUACCGUAAGAAUAAGCACCGGCUAACUACGUGCCAGCAGCCGCGGUAAUACGUAGGGUGCGAGCGUUAAUCGGAAUUACUGGGCGUAAAGCGUGCGCAGGCGGUUAUGUAAGACAGAUGUGAAAUCCCCGGGCUCAACCUGGGAACUGCAUUUGUGACUGCAUGGCUAGAGUACGGUAGAGGGGGAUGGAAUUCCGCGUGUAGCAGUGAAAUGCGUAGAUAUGCGGAGGAACACCGAUGGCGAAGGCAAUCCCCUGGACCUGUACUGACGCUCAUGCACGAAAGCGUGGGGAGCAAACAGGAUUAGAUACCCUUGUAGUCCCA